UUUGAUGGCGACCGGCGCACGGGUGAGUAACACGUAUCCAACCUGCCGAUGACUCGGGGAUAGCCUUUCGAAAGAAAGAUUAAUACCCGAUGGCAUAGUUCUUCCGCAUGGUAGAACUAUUAAAGAAUUUCGGUCAUCGAUGGGGAUGCGUUCCAUUAGGUCGUUGGCGGGGUAACGGCCCACCAAGCCUUCGAUGGAUAGGGGUUCUGAGAGGAAGGUCCCCCACAUUGGAACUGAGACACGGUCCAAACUCCUACGGGAGGCAGCAUG
rnacentral:rRNA from 1 species